rnacentral:misc_RNA from 1 species
GGAAGUAAAAGUCGUAACAAAGGUUUCCGUAGGUGACCCUGCGGAAGGAUCAUUACAGAGUUCAUGCCCUCACGGGUAGAUCUCCCACCCUUGAAUAUUUAUACCUUAGUUGCUUUGGCAGGCCGUGGAAACACCAUGGGCUCCGGCUUAUGCGUGCCUGCCAGAGGAAACAAACUCUGUUUUUAGUGAUGUCUGAGUACUAUAUAAUAGUUAAAACUUUCAACAACGGAUCUCUUGGUUCUG